UAAGGGAUAUUGCACAAUGGACGGAAGUCUGAUGCAGCGACGCCGCGUGGGUGAAGAAGGUUUUCGGAUCGUAAAGCCCUUUUCUAUGUGACGAGGAAGGACGGUAGCAUAGGAAUAAGUGUCGGCUAACUACGUGCCAGCAGCCGCGGUAAAACGUAGGACACGAACGUUAUCCGGAGUUACUGGGCGUAAAGCGCGCGUAGGCGGUUGGUCAAGUUACCUAUGAAAGAUACAGGCUAAACUUGUAUUGGUUAGGUGAAACUGGUCGACUAGAGAGAAAUAGAGGGAAGUAGAAUUCCGGGUGUAGUGGUGAAAUGCGUAGAUAUCCGGAGGAAUACCGGUGGCGAAGGCGGCUUCCUGGAUUUCGACUGACGCUGAAGCGCGAAAGCGUGGGUAGCGAACGGGAUUAGAUACCCCCGUAGUCC
rnacentral:rRNA from 1 species